rnacentral:rRNA from 1 species
UACGGAGGAUGCGAGCGUUAUCCGGAUUUAUUGGGUUUAAAGGGUGCGUAGGCGGGGAUUUAAGUCAGCGGUGAAAGUUUGAGGCUCAACCUUAAAAUUGCCGUUGAAACUGGGUUUCUUGAGUGUAUUUGAAGUAGGCGGAAUUCGUUGUGUAGCGGUGAAAUGCAUAGAUAUAACGAAGAACUCCAAUUGCGCAGGCAGCUUACUAAACUACAACUGACGCUGAAGCACGAAAGCGUGGGUAUCAAACAGG